AAAAAUGUCCGUAAUUAAAAGGUACGAACUACCGUAUUCUUAGGAGGGAAUUUUCCGUAAUAUUAUUCUACGGAUGAUUUACCCGUAUUUUGAAGAACGCAAUGCAUUGUGGGAGAGACUGUCUUCAGAGGGAACGCAGCCGCCGCUUGCUCGCUCUCUGCUGUCUGAGUGAGUUGGAGUACUGCACUUCUGUGCUAUCAGAGCGGUCAAGAUUACCAGCCAACUUGUGAUGUCUUAAUAGGCUAGGAUCUACAUCUCGUAAAUCGUCCACAAUCCGUUUGGCCGCCCAAGUUGCUAGCUAAGUUAGCUCAGCAAGGAUCAUGUUGGUAACUGAACAGACGGUUAAUAGCUAUAUUGCUGAUCUCUGGGAUCGCAAAAUUCUUCAGAGAAAAGCCUGAACAACUCUUCCACCCAAGUGAGGAAUCUGCUGCUGCCGCACUACCACUGCAAAGCACACCUUGCAUCCUUACCAUGGGUGAUCAUCAUUACAAAAUCGCCGUGGACCAAGAAGUCGUAAACAACCACAUCAGCUCCAUGAUUGUAGCUCUGAGCUACACUUUUGCUGCAUUUUAUGUUUUUAACAUAAAGUACCCAAAAGACAUGGCUCUCACACUGGAGUUCAUUCAAAGAGUUUUCCUGGGAAUAAAUCCAGAACGAGGGUCAAAGGCUGAGAAGAAGGGAAAGAAACACCUUCACUUGCCCCCAAGACUUCUGAAGUUCUUGUGUGAACUGAACAGUUUUGAAAACCCCUGGAUGGAAAUGUGAACAUUUGCAUGCAUGUGCACGCAUGCGCGCGCACGCACACACACACAAAGCUGAGUUUCUGCUGAGGUCUGGAAUGCCCCUCAACUCCCACCCCUUAAUUGUUUAGGUGCGUGUUUCUUUUUUUUUUUUCUUUCUUAAGAGACUUUGAAACCUGUUUGUUGGGAAUCAUAGACCUCACCCUUCAAUCCAAUUUAAAAGUUACAAAUAUCAAAUCAUUUUGUGGGUUUUGUAUGUUGCAUGACGUUCUUAAAAAUGACAGGGUGCUAGUCAUAAUGAAUACUUGAUGAAAUUUGUGGUGGUGUUAAAUAUUCUUGAAUUAAUUAUUUGUGAAUUAACAGCAUGACUUCCCAUAGACCUGUCCCUUCAAUCCAAUUUAAAAGGUACAAAUAUCAAAUCAUUUUGUGUUUUUUUGUAUGUUCUUAAAAAUGUCAGUGUGCUAGUCAUAAUGAAUAUUUGAUGAAGAUAACAUCUCUGAAUUCAUAGCAUGAAUUAUUGAAAUAAACUACUAAAAUGGCA